AGUGAACGCUGGCGGUAGGCCUAACACAUGCAAGUCGAACGGCAGCACAGUAAGAGCUUGCUCUUACGGGUGGCGAGUGGCGGACGGGUGAGGAAUACAUCGGAAUCUACUUUUUCGUGGGGGAUAACGUAGGGAAACUUACGCUAAUACCGCAUACGACCUACGGGUGAAAGCAGGGGAUCUUCGGACCUUGCGCGAUUGAAUGAGCCGAUGUCGGAUUAGCUAGUUGGCGGGGUAAAGGCCACCAAGGCGACGAUCCGUAGCUGAUCUGAGAGGAUGAUCAGCCACACUGGAACUGAGACACGGUCCAGACUCCUACGGGAGGCAGCAGUGGGGAAUAUUGGACAAUGGGCGCAAGCCUGAUCCAGCCAUACCGCGUGGGUGAAGAAGGCCUUCGGGUUGUAAAGCCCUUUUGUUGGGAAAGAAAAGCAGCAGGUUAAUACCCCGCUGUUCUGACGGUACCCAAAGAAUAAGCACCGGCUAACUUCGUG
rnacentral:rRNA from 1 species